ACACCCUGACGUGAGAAGUCUGGAGAGCUGGGCUGGCUCAGAACUGCUGGUUGCCAGAGCAGCUGCCAACCUGUGCACUGGGAAGAGAACCUGUUCUGUCCAACUACUAGGGAGAGAGCAAUUGUGAUGCCAUCUGAGGAAGGUCUUUGCUCAUACACACGUCCCAGGACCUCUGCGAUUCUGGCCACCACAAACUCACCUGCGUUUACAACAGGCUGCUCCUGCAAGGCAAAGGCUGAGGCCUUCACAAACGCCGACAUGAAGCCUAGUUUGAGGUUAUGUUUCUUCAGAAAAGCUUCCUUGUGCCGAGCCCUCAUCUCCUGAAUGUUACUGCAAAAACACAUUAUAAAACAAACUGGUCAC